GGAAUUUUCCGCAAUGGGCGAAAGCCUGACGGAGCAAUGCCGCGUGGAGGAUGAAGGCCUGUGGGUUGUAAUCUCCUUUUCUCAGAGAAGAAGUUCUGACGGUAUCUGAGGAAUAAGCAUCGGCUAACUCCGUGCCAGCAGCCGCGGUAAUACGGAGGAUGCAAGCGUUAUCCGGAAUCAUUGGGCGUAAAGCGUCUGUAGGUGGCUUGGUAAGCCGACUGUUAAAUCGUAGAGCUCAACUCUAUAUCGGCAGUCGAAACUACUUCGCUUGAGUGUGGUAGGGGCAGAGGGAAUUCCCGGUGUAGCGGUGAAAUGCGUAGAUAUCGGGAAGAACACCAACGGCGAAAGCACUCUGCUGGGCCUACACUGACACUGAGAGACGAAAGCUAGGGUAGCCAAUGGGAUUAGAUACCCCAGUAGUC
rnacentral:rRNA from 1 species